GGCGCUAUAGCCAAGCGGUAAGGCAAAGGUCUGCAACACCUUUAUUCCCCAGUUCAAAUCUGGGUGGCGCCU
rfam:Clostridium amylolyticum strain DSM 21864 genome assembly, contig: Ga0131114_106